rnacentral:rRNA from 1 species
GCUCAGGAUGAACGCUAGCGGCAGGCUUAACACAUGCAAGUCGAGGGGUAGAGGCCUUCGGGCCUUGAGACCGGCGCACGGGUGCGUAACGCGUAUGCAAUCUGCCUUCCACAGAGGGAUAGCCCAGAGAAAUUUGGAUUAAUACCUCAUAGCAUCAUGACCCGGCAUCGGGAUAUGAUUAAAGUCACAACGGUGGAAGAUGAGCAUGCGUCCCAUUAGCUAGUUGGUAAGGUAAUGGCUUACCAAGGCUACGAUGGGUAGGGGUCCUGAGAGGGAGAUCCCCCACACUGGUACUGAGACACGGACCAGACUCCUACGGGAGGCAGCAGUGAGGAAUAUUGGUCAAUGGGCGCAAGCCUGAACCAGCCAUGCCGCGUGCAGGAUGACGGUCCUAUGGAUUGUAAACUGCUUUUGUACGGGAAGAAACCCUCCUACGUGUAGGAGCUUGACGGUACCGUAAGAAUAAGGAUCGGCUAACUCCGUGCCAGCAGCCGCGGUAAUACGGAGGAUCCAAGCGUUAUCCGGAAUCAUUGGGUUUAAAGGGUCUGUAGGCGGUCUUGUAAGUCAGUGGUGAAAGCCCAUCGCUCAACGGUGGAACGGCCAUUGAUACUGCUGGACUUGAAUUAUUGGGAAGCAACUAGAAUAUGUAGUGUAGCGGUGAAAUGCUUAGAGAUUACAUGGAAUACCAAUUGCGAAGGCAGGUUGCUACCAAUGGAUUGACGCUGAUGGACGAAAGCGUGGGUAGCGAACAGGAUUAGAUACCCUGGUAGUCCACGCCGUAAACGAUGGAUACUAGCUGUUGGGCGCAAGUUCAGUGGCUAAGCGAAAGUGAUAAGUAUCCCACCUGGGGAGUACGACGCAAGUUUGAAACUCAAAGG